UACGUAGGUGGCAAGCGUUGUCCGGAUUUACUGGGCGUAAAGGAUGCGUAGGCGGACAUUUAAGUCAGAUGUGAAAUACCCGAGCUUAACUUGGGUGCUGCAUUUGAAACUGGGUGUCUAGAGUGCAGGAGAGGUAAGUGGAAUUCCUAGUGUAGCGGUGAAAUGCGUAGAGAUUAGGAAGAACACCAGGUGGCGAAGGCGACUACUGGACUGUAACUGACGCUGAGGCAUGAAAGCGUGGGGAGCAAACAGG
rnacentral:rRNA from 1 species